AGAGUUUGAUCAUGGCUCAGGACGAACGCUGGCGGCGUGCUUAACACAUGCAAGUCGAGCGGGGUCCAUCCAAGGGCAACCUUGGGGAAGGCCUAGCGGCGAACGGGUGAGUAACACGUGAGGAACCUGCCCUGGAGUGCGGGAUAACUCGGGGAAACUCGGGCUAAUACUGCAUGUCUUCAUUGGAUCGCAUGGUUUGGUGAAGAAAGAUUUUUCGCUCUGGGAGGGUCUCGCGGCCUAUCAGCUUGUUGGUGGGGUAAUGGCCUACCAAGGCAGCGACGGGUAGCUGGUCUGAGAGGACGAUCAGCCACACUGGGACUGAGACACGGCCCAGACUCCUACGGGAGGCAGCAGUGGGGAAUUUUGCGCAAUGGGCGGAAGCCUGACGCAGCAACGCCGCGUGCGGGAUGAAGGCCUUCGGGUUGUAAACCGCUUUCAGCAGGAACGAAAUUGACGGUACCUGCAGAAGAAGCCCCGGCCAACUACGUGCCAGCAGCCGCGGUGAUACGUAGGGGGCGAGCGUUGUCCGGAUUCAUUGGGCGUAAAGAGCUCGUAGGCGGUUCGGUUAGUCAGAUGUGAAAACUCCGGGCUUAACUCGGAGAGGCCAUCUGAUACUGCCGUGACUUGAGUUCGGUAGAGGAGUGUGGAAUUCCCGGUGUAGCGGUGAAAUGCGCAGAUAUCGGGAGGAACACCAGCGGCGAAGGCGGCACUCUGGGCCGACACUGACGCUGAGGAGCGAAAGCGUGGGGAGCGAACAGGAUUAGAUACCCUAGUAGUCC
rnacentral:rRNA from 1 species